CGUCUCUUCAUGGUAAAAAGUCCCUUUUUUCACACAAUAAUUUCUUUGAAAAUUUAAUACUUUGAAUACAUAUAAUAACUCCAUAGUUUUUACACAUUUAUUCUAAGGUCCUAUACUUUCCAGAUCAACACAAAUGGUUAAGCUCAGUCACUUGUUAAAAAUUGAAACAUGUCCAAUAUCACUACACAGAGGUUUUUUGUUUACA
rnacentral:lncRNA from 1 species